GAUCGAGUCAGUGCCGUAAUUGUAUGCAUUUCGUUGACUAUCUGCUGGUUUUUUAAAGUAUUUCGUAGGGAUUCCCAAAACAAGUCUCGAGUUUGUUAGCAGGGGGAACGACAUUCCUUUCUACACCGUUUGUUUUAUUGACUCGUGCACACCUUACCCCCAAAGUUCAACUUGUUUCGCUCGUCUUUGGUAACGGCUAAAGUAAUGUCUACAUCGACUGAAACCUUUUCCACAAAAUGAAGAAUUCUAUUAUUGUGUUGAAAACCAGCAGUGAAAAAGAAAAUGUAAUUUUAAUGAAGACAUAUUGGAAUGCAUCUAGCAAACAAUAAAAACACUUUUUUAAGA